GCGCCCGUAGCUCAGUUGGAUCAGAGCGUCGGUCUACGGAACCGAAGGCCGCAGGUUCGAGUCCUGCCGGGCGCACCA
rnacentral:tRNA from 1 species